AUGAACAUCUUCUACCCUUUUGUCUUCACAGGAGAGGUGCUCCAACCCUUUGAUCAUCCUCACAGCCUUCCUCUGGACUCACUCCAACAUGUCCAUGUCCUACUUGUGCUGGGGGUCCCAGAGCUGGACGCAGUACUCCAGAUGGCUUUCAGUGAUAUAUACCAGCUGCAAACAGGGAGCAGAGCCAGCCCAUGUGGCUGUCCCACGGAACAGAAAACAUCCAGUGCUCCUGCAACAGCGCUCCAGGCCAAUUUGCACCAACCCCGAAGUGUGAAAGUUCAGGGCACGCUUCCGCGCCUUCUGGGUGAUGAGGACGUUCAGGCGAGCUGUCAGGUGAGUGCGAAGUUUCAGUGAAACAUUUUGGUUCCCGGAAGGCUGCGAAGUGCCCGGCAUCUCCUCCAGGAGCUCCAAGCAGCUGCAGUGGUGAGAGUUACGUUACUGCCAUCUCGCGGCCCCCGCGAAAUAUGCACCUUUCGAUUUUACUGCCCAAAUCAGGUUCCUUCCCAUUCGAGUUCUGCAUGUCGCUCAGAUUACAUAUUUAAUCGUUUGCUCCAGUGCUGCUAGCCAUCAAGGAGAAUCACAUCCAGAUUUUACAAAUUACUGUUGCAAGUUUCUAUGACGUGAGGCCAAACCUUAAUACCUAAAACUGGGGAAACGCAUUAUGCUCUCAGGGCACUCCAGAAAGAUCAAUACUUUGCCAUAUGUAAGAAGCAAAUCCAAAGAAACUUGAGGAAGCUGGAAAAACUGAGAGAAACUACUUUUGUUUGGGAGUGUUGAGUAAUAGUCCUGAUUCAUUCCUUAUCCUCCAGCUGGUUAUGUCCCUCCCGCUCACAGUUUUGUUGGAGUGCUGAAAAACCUUAAUCAUCAAAAAGGUCAAUCUGUUGCUCUUCAGAGAUGGAUGCUUGUGACUUUCCAGCUAGACAAAACAGAGGUCUUGCUCUAAGAAGAAUUACUGAAUAAUCUGAGCAACUGUAGCUCCAAAUGUGGCCAGUGUGUUGACCUUUCUCUCUCUCCUUCACUGCUCUGUCCUAAUGCUUCUCGUAGUUUCUGCAUGUUAUGUUUUGGAAAAGCUCAAAUAACAUCCCAGUUUAUUUUUAGAGAAGAAUCAAUAUGAAUAUGGAGCUAUCACCACAUCAUUUCUACAGAAGGACAGACGUUUAAGCAGACAGACAUUUUUCCCUUUUACUGUACUGCCCAUCAACUUCUUUUUCUCUAGCAGGUUGCAGCAGAACACAGAACAGCCCCUCUUGCCAAGCAUAUGGCAUGUAGAGUUCUUACUUCAUUAUAAUUACCUCAGCUUUACUCAUCUUCAUGUUUUAAGUUAACAGGUCUAGGUUUAAUGUGUCUGCUACCAAGAACUACUAUUCCCCACUCAGCUCUGAACAGUCAGAAGCCACAGAGUGCACCUGAAGCCCCUGCUGAACAGCGCCCUGAUGUUCUCCCCUGCACGUGUCUGUAAUAAGAUACCCACAAUUUUCCCUGUUUUCCCAUGGUUUUAGUGUAAAAAUAUUGUGGUACCUGUGCCCCUGCAACAACACACAGCUGAAAUGCGAACCACCUUUGGGAAUCCUUUUAAAUAUAUAACAUGACAUUAAGAAAAAUGGAAGUUUGUUUGUUUGUUGUUGUUGUUUUAAAUAUUUCAAGGAGGUACAAAGUGUGGUGUGGCCAACUUUCUCAGAAGAUCUAAAGGGAUCCCCAGUCUUUUUAAAAUAAACUUUCCCUUAAUUGGGAGAAAUGAUUCAGUGUGCUGUGGGGGGCAAAGAACUAGAGCAUAGCCUCUUUCUCUUAGUGCCAGCUGGCUGGCUGUAAUUUGCAAAGCAGUGCAGAGAAUGCUCUAAUAUAAUUUCUCUAAAAACUGAAUGCAACUGCUUUAUGUUUAUGGCUGCAAGUAAUUGUAGACUGUUGCAAACCUGUAUCAGCAAUAGUCACCUGCAUGAGCAGGGCCAUACUCUUGCCUGGCCUGUUUCUUCCCUGUGAAACAUAAGAUUAAAAUACACUUUUUCUAUCUUGUUAUCUA
rnacentral:lncRNA from 1 species